rnacentral:rRNA from 1 species
CUGAUCCAGCAAUGCCGCGUGUGUGAAGAAGGCCUUCGGGUUGUAAAGCACUUUUGUCCGGAAAGAAAUCCUUGGCUCUAAUACAGUCGGGGGAUGACGGUACCGGAAGAAUAAGCACCGGCUAACUACGUGCCAGCAGCCGCGGUAAUACGUAGGGUGCGAGCGUUAAUCGGAAUUACUGGGCGUAAAGCGUGCGCAGGCGGUUUGCUAAGACCGAUGUGAAAUCCCCGGGCUCAACCUGGGAACUGCAUUGGUGACUGGCAGGCUAGAGUAUGGCAGAGGGGGGUAGAAUUCCACGUGUAGCAGUGAAAUGCGUAGAGAUGUGGAGGAAUACCGAUGGCGAAGGCAGCCCCCUGGGCCAAUACUGACGCUCAUGCACGAAAGCGUGGGGAGCAAACAGGAUUAGAUACCCCUGUAGUCA